rnacentral:lncRNA from 1 species
GGGGCGAGGCGGGAGGGAGGAGCGCACUGGCCAGUGGUAAAUCAGGUGUCGCUGGGUGACCGCGGGUGGCCUCGGGAGGUCCUGAGGCUAAGGGCACAGGAGACAUUUGGAGAGGUAGGGUUGUCUGGGCGAGCAGGAAUGCUUCAUAAACUGGAGCUCAAGGUCUCUGCGCCACUGGAUUCUGCCUUUCGGAAUAAGGAUGAUGUCACCCAGACGCCCACAGCUCUGACAUGGAAGUGUGGGCCUUCUGCAGACUCAGACCAUCAGAGUGACACACCAAUCAGGCAGCAGAGGACGCCGUCCUCACCCAGGAUCCCAAGUGUACUUCUCGGCACUGAAUUUGGAAAGCGGUGUUCUUAUCAGAAGAGACUGGAGAUGCAGAAAGACACCAAGCACAGGAGAAAGACAACAUGACCACCGAACACGGGCUGAACUGAAGCACCAUGAGCUUCAGUGGCAAACACUAGAAGCUAAGAAAGACACCAAGCAGGAGUGUCCCACAGAACCUUCAUGGACUGCUGGCUCCACAGGGGCCUUUGUUUCCCCGUCUCGCUUCCAAAAUUGAGACAAUCUAUGCUGCUGUCCUCAGCUGCUGACGUGGUCUGUGGCUUUUAUUGGAGAACCCUGGGGCUCGUAUAGAGGAUAGGAGAAGCACCAGCCGCCCUGGGAAAUGGGGUGUGAGCAGCAGGAAGCUGGGAAUGGCCCUCUAAGAAAAACAUCUCUAAAAAUGGGGAGUAUAGCAGACCAACAAUGUCACAUGAAACGGAAUACCCUCUUGCCUGGGUGGAUGCGUGUGCAAAUGCACUGAAAGCACAGUACAGGGGUCACUGUGAAGGUGCCCACGUCUCACUACAAAACUCUACUCAUAUUGAGUUGGCACAGAGAUCAUUAAAAGAGGCCAACAAGCAGUUUAUCAAGUAAGCAAAGGGCCAAAAGAUUCCUCCUUCGGAAUCCUCAGAAUCCUAAGCAAAGGUUUGAAGAAAACUGGAUGCUAGCCCCUCUUCCUCCCUCUCCAUCUUUAUCUAGCUGGUCUGACACAUAGUCUCCAUCCAUAGGUUGCAAGCAUUCCUCAGGCAGUCCCAUGUCCUGCCAGGGUUGAGAGUCACCAUUAAAUAUCUGAACCUUCUGAGAGAAGGUCAGCCUGGCACUAUUGUCCAUGAGUGUUCCUGGAUCACGCGCUCAGGGCCUGAGGUAAGCAAAGUGUGUGGGUUGGUGAGGUUGGCGCUUCCAGUGCCUAGAUGGCUAAGUACCGGCCCUUAUGGAAGGCUCCUCCCUGCUCUGUAAGUGCAGACCUUUCCACGGUAAGUUUUGGUGACAGUGUUGGUUCACAUGGAUGCUGCCCCAUCCGUCUGCCUGCAUUGGCAGUUGUCCAGUGUCUGGAGACGGCUGUGUUUAUUAUGUCCAACCACUGACCUGCUUACCAUGGGUACACAUGCAGUUUACUAGGACAGUCCAGCCAAAGUGCCACAAUCUGGGGUGGCUUAAGUCAAUAGACAUUCAUUCUUUCACAGUCCUGAAGGCCAGAAGGAUUAAAAUCAAAAUAGGAGAAGGGUGGCUUCCGUCAGGGGGGAUGCUUGAGCACGUCCUGAGUUCACACCCCUCCCCUGCUUUCUGAUAGCUGUUCCUUGGCAUUCCAACUUCAUAAUGCCACGCUCUGCCCCUGCUUCCACGUGGUCACCUUCCCUCUGUGUCUGUCCCAAAGGACACAAGUCAGACUGGAUUAAGGGUCCACCCUCUUCCAGGAUGACAUCAUCUAAGCUAAUUACAUCUGCAACAACCUUCCUUCUAAAUAUGGCCACAUUCUGAGAUUCCAGGAAAGCCUUGUGUGUUAGGGUAACACUAUGUGUGUGUGUUAGGGUAACACUCUGUGUGUGUGUUAGGGUAACACUAUGUGUGUUUGUUAGGGUAACACUCUGUGUGUGCGUUAGGGUAACACUAUGUGUGUUUGUUAGGGUAACACUCUGUGUGUGCGUUAGGGUAACACUAUGCAACCCAGGACAGUGGCUCACUGUGGUGCUGCUGCUGCUCCAAAUUAGAAAUUUUCACUUGGACUGCAAACUCCUGGCCAGAGGGCUGGUUUUUAUUUAUUUGAGGGGCUUUUUACAGUACUCCAAACCAAAGAAGUUUAACAGUUUGAGAUGAAUUAGGGUGAUAUAGUAAAAAUAGCCCAGUGUUCUGUAGGUGCUGGUUCCAGGGCCCACACAGUCCCUGGCAGGGGUAGGGUGGCGACACAGUCUCACAGUCUUGUGAGCUGCAGACUAGGAACUUGAAUUGGUGAGGGCUCUUUGGACUGAUGAACUCCAACCUCAUCUGCAUGCUGAAAGACAGUUACUACACAGUACAGGCGUUCUUGGGUACUUUGCAUUGAGGAGCUGAGUUUGGUACUUAUGGGAGAUAUUAAGUCAUAGCUAUCCAGAGAAAUAGCCAGUCACAGGUAAGAAGACAUACAGAAAGAGAUGACUUGAUGGAAUGGGUUUAUGUAAUGACAGAGAGGCUGUCAAAUUUAAAAUUUCCAAAGUGGGCUGGCAGGCUAGAGACCAGGGAAGACUUGGUGCUACAGCCCCAGGCAGGAGACAGACUGUCCAGAGACUCCCCUCAUCCUAAGGGGUGGGGUGGGGGCUCUCUUUCUUUUCUAGCCUGAGCUUUUUGUACCAGGAUGAUUCCCCCCCAGCACCCCUAGAAACACAAUGGAAGACAUCAAUUUGCUUUACUCCAAACCCACCAAUUCUAAUGUCAAUCUCAUUUAAAAAAUUUUUUUCAUAAGUGUCCUAAAUAACUCUUGACCAUGUAUCUGGGUACCAUGACUCAGCAACAUUGGCAUACAACUCACCCAUUACAUGAACUCUCACAGGAUCCAGCACUGGAAGAGACUCGGGAUAAAGAGAACAAGAGGCAGGUGAGAUGAAACCCCUCUUUAGACCUUAUAAAGUUGGAAGUCUAGCUAGCCCUAAGCACAACUCUCGCAAGUCUCCAUGGACACACAGCUCAUUGGGCCCCAUCAGGAACCAGUAAACCUGAGCAUGACUGAGGCUUCUACAGGACAAAUCAAUUCCUUCUGUUGCAUUUAUACAUUCAAAGUGUGUGCGUAAGAAUUUCCUAAGCAUAUCAUAAAUGUAGACAUACUUAGUAAAUGUAUAUAAAUGUAUAUUUAUAAAAAGCAAAUAAUUAUCUACCAAUGUCG